UACGUAGGGUGCGAGCGUAAUCGGAAUUACUGGGCGUAAAGCGUGCGCAGGCGGUCUGUUAAGACCGAUGUGAAAUCCCCGGGCUUAACCUGGGAACUGCAUUGGUGACUGGCAGGCUUUGAGUGUGGCAGAGGGAGGUAGAAUUCCACGUGUAGCAGUGAAAUGCGUAGAGAUGUGGAGGAAUACCGAUGGCGAAGGCAGCCUCCUGGGCCA
rnacentral:rRNA from 1 species